rnacentral:rRNA from 1 species
AUCCGUUUAGGUGUGACACCGAAGGGCAAGCCCCCCGACGUCUGGCAUUCAUCGUUUACGGUGUGGACUACCAGGGUAUCUAAUCCUGUUUGCUCCCCACACUUUCGUACCUCAGCGUCAGUAUCGAGCCAGUGAGCCGCCUUCGCCACUGGUGUUCCUCCAAAUAUCUACGAAUUUCACCUCUACACUUGGAAUUCCACUCACCUCUCUCGAACUCUAGACUGAUAGUUUAGGAGGCAGUUCCAGGGUUGAGCCCUGGGAUUUCACCCCCUACUUUCCAAUCCGCCUACGUACGCUUUACGCCCAGUAAUUCCGAACAACGCUAACCCCCUCCGUAUUACCGCGGCUGCUGGCACGGAGUUAGCCGGGGUUUCUUUACCAGAUACUGUCAUUAUCAUCUCUGGCGAAAGAGCUUUACGACCCUAAGGCCUUCGUCACUCACGCGGCAUGGCUAGAUCAGGCUUGCGCCCAUUGUCUAAGAAUUCCCCACUGCUGCCUCCCGUAGG